UACGUAGGGACCAAGCGUUGUUCGGAUUUACUGGGCGUAAAGGGCGCGUAGGCGGCGUGUUAAGUCAGCUGUGAAAUCUCCGAGCUUAACUCGGAACGGUCAGCUGAUACUGAUGUGCUAGAGUGCAGAAGGGGCAAUCGGAAUUCUUGGUGUAGCGGUGAAAUGCGUAGAUAUCAAGAGGAACACCUGAGGUGAAGACGGGUUGCUGGGCUGACACUGACGCUGAGGUGCGGAAGCGUGGGUAGCGAACGGG
rnacentral:rRNA from 1 species